CGACAGGCCCGUCGGCCACGGCUGCCUGGGGCGGGGCGGCGCCGGUCGAAAGGGGCUUGUGUGGGCUGCUCUCCCCCCUCCCAGUGCAUAAUAACGGCUGGGCCGGGCUUGCGAAAUCGGCGGGGGGUUAUUUCCCCCUCUGUUGGUACCCCAAGAAAUAUCAAGUCUGGCUCCCCUGGGUUGGCUGGAGAAGCCUCUGAGGUUUCCGGGGCCGCCCUGUGGACAGGCGGUGACCUCCUGGCCCCGCCACCAGGCUGGCACUCGGGAGGCCUGGCUUCUUCUUUUCCUGGCUCCGCAGUUGUCAGAGCGGCGUGACUUGGGGCAAAUUAUUAAAUUCUCCCUGCUUAAAUCUUCCCCGCUGAAAACUGGAGCUGAUGCUCCAGGCACCUUUUGUUAAAUCACUUCGAGAUCUUGGGGGCGAAAAAUGCGGGAUGAAUUCUACCUAUGAGCUUUCGUGCCUCUUCAUUAGGGGCUAGGGUGGUGGGAUCUUUACAGAUGGUCUUUCCCUGUUAAACCGUGGCGUUAAAUGGGAGUCAAAACAGCCUAAACAGCUGCAGGAAAAAUCUUUCGCCCUCAGUUGCUCGGUUUUCAGGGUUUUCCCCCUUGUAACUUCAUUGUCCCCUCAGUAGUCAUCAACAGGGUUUCCAGGUGAACAAAACUAGAAUUUUUAGUCUUUAAGAAAGUGGGGAAAAAAAUCCUUUCGGGUCUUCUUUAUAUGUCGUAAAGCAGCAUAACAGUCUAUAGAUCCCUUCUCCCUUUGUAGUUCACCUUUCAUAGCAUCCUGUGGUUCUGUGCAGUGACCCUGUGGUAUGGGCAGGAUUCUCCCCUGAAACUGGAAAAGAGAAUUUGCUUUUAUUAUUAUCAAAUGUUGACAGUGCGCACAAUACUGCACAAAACCCAAAGAUAGUUUCCUGUGCUAAAGAAAGUGCCUGUUUGUAUUUCUAUUCCAGUUAUAGAGCACCUUUAAUUGUGAAGGGUCUCAGAGCAUUUUACAGACUUCAGCUGAUAACCAGAGGAAUAAUUUUUCCCAGUGGUGACUGUACUUUGAAGGUAGAAAAACUGAUCAGUUGUUCAGCUGGGCAUAGCAGUUCUCCACAACAAUAUAAUAAAUGAAGUGAAGAAUACCAUUUAGAAACUGCAGCUGUCUGUAGGUAGGCAGAAUGUAAAUGAGAAAUUGUCCCUGAGAUUUUCUUUUUUCCUGGAAUUGGGUGGCAUUUCCUUUUUACUCCGUAACUGGCACAUUUCAGUAAUUCUGAAAGACUCUUCUGUGCUGUUGUAUGAUUGAAUAUGACCAUUUACAUCACUGAUAUUACCACGGUUCUACAAUUGCACCAAAUCUUUUACAAAGUAUGUCAUACUGGAUUUCUAACAAGGAAGCUCUAAGCAAGGACUGAUUACCCCCAACCUGUUUGGGUAAUUCCAGGGAGAGAGUUUUGCAAGCUCGCAGUUUAUUCCAUCAUUGCUAUGAUCCUGAUCUAUGAACACUGAAAAAUCACUUAUGAAUUUCUCUGCAUGACCUUGUCAUGCAUCUGAUGCAAAGUCACCAUUUUACAGACUGGUAUUAAAAGUGAAUGGCAACAGCUGAGCAGUUGACCGAUAUGAAAGGGAAGAAACAGAGGUCUAAGAAUGAGAUGUCUGAAGCCCUCCUUACAGACUUUCCAAAAAACCCUGGAAAACUACUGAUAACUGGAAAGUGUUUUUGAUGUCUGAAAGAGAAAAAGACAGGCAGCUAUCCAGCGACAGGAUUGAACUGGCCCGAGACAGUGUUGCCAUGACAAAAGACACUGCGGAGAAAGAUAGGGACUCCUGGAGGCAAUGAUCAGGCAGAACAUUCAGUUGGAUUGCAUAGUGAAAUUAGGCCAGCAGACAAUCCAGCAUCUUCAGCCAAAAUCAGCCAUGUUCUGCAGCCCCUGUAUGAUCUAGGGUACUGGGAACACCAGCCUAUGUUCCCCGCUGUAGACCUGCAGCCUUGCUCUCAGAGGCCAUUCACUUCCCCAGCUUCAGCAUUGGGUAGUAAGAACACCACAUGGGAGCCCAGCACAUCUGCACUAUCCAAUGCAUGUGGCAACUGUGACCCCAUAUGGUACCCUAGAAGGCAGAGGGUCUAGAAGAAGCAAAGACAAGAUGUACACCUGUGUGAACAGAAGCCCCUCCCCUGACUUGUUGUGUGUUGCCCUCUUCACCCCACUGUAUGUGAAAGACAUUUUUUCACUUUAAAGCUGUGUUUGAUGUUGUUUUAAUCCCUAUGAUCGAAGAUUGUAACAUUUUUUAAGUUUUAUUUUUGGUUUUUAUUUAUUGCAAUAAUCUGUGCAAUAAAAAACAUUAAGUACCAAAGUACCUGCAAUGGAUGGUACACACAAUCCACAAAUUUUCAACUGAACAGCAGUGUCGUAAGUUUUUAUAAAAGUACAGAUGGUAUAAAAUAGAGUACCCAAAUGUGCCACUUCCAGCAUCCAUAAAAUCAA